GCAACCGCGAAGAAAAUAACUUUAUUAGCCUAAUUACCGAGUUGUUAAGUGAGUUGCAAGGCACUACUUUCCGAUAUUGAUUUCUUCACAGAAGAAGGUCGUAUUAACUAAGAUUCGGGAUAGCAAUGAUUUGUGCUCGUCUGCUGUGGAAGAAUGCGAAGACAUUACUUCAAUAAUAAGGAAUCUGGGUGCUUCGAUACACAAAAACGAGCCCUGUCGAGUCCUAGUUCUACCUGUUGGAUUCGGUCAAGGACAACUUCAUAAACGUUUUGCAAACGAUUGUGAUCGGUGGUUCGAUCAAUUAGAUGUUUUCCGGAUUCGUCACGACGCAGGUUCCGUAUCCUGCGCGUCAAGUCAAUGUUGCAACGAGGCAUAAAGCUAGCUUCACUUAAUGCUAUCUGGGUUUUGUCAGUUUCAUGAUAUCUGUCGAAUGUGUUUGGCUGAGAAGUAAUUACAAGCUGGUUCUGUGAGAGGAUAAUGCCAUGGAUCAGACCCAAUCGAAGCAGGACCAGAUGUCGAUAGUUUAGAUAGUUCAAUAAAUGAAUAAAGAUGCAUACAAAAACUCAAUA